GGGGAAUUUUCCGCAAUGGGCGCAAGCCUGACGGAGCAAUACCGCGUGGGGGAGGAAGGCUCUUGGGUUGUAAACCCCUUUUCUCAAGGAAGAACACAAUGACGGUACUUGAGGAAUAAGCCUCGGCUAACUCCGUGCCAGCANNNNCGGUAAUACGGAGGAGGCAAGCGUUAUCCGGAAUGAUUGGGCGUAAAGCGUCCGUAGGUGGCAGUUCAAGUCUGCUGUCAAAGACAGUAGCUCAACUACUGAAAGGCAGUGGAAACUAGAAAGCUUGAGUACAGUAGGGGCGGAGGGAAUUUCCGGUGGAGCGGUGAAAUGCAUAGAUAUCGGGAAGAACACCAACGGCGAAAGCACUCCGCUGGGCUGAUACUGACACUGACAGACGAAAGCUAGGGUAGCGAAUGGGAUUAGAUACCCCAGUAGUC
rnacentral:rRNA from 1 species